rnacentral:rRNA from 1 species
GAUGCAGCCAUGCCGCGUGUAUGAAGAAGGCCUUCGGGUUGUAAAGUACUUUCAGCAGUGAGGUAAGGCGGGUACGUUAAUAGCGUAUUCGUUUGACGUUAGCUGCAGAAGAAGCACCGGCUAACUCCGUGCCAGCAGCCGCGGUAAUACGGAGGGUGCGAGCGUUAAUCGGAAUUACUGGGCGUAAAGCGCAUGCAGGUGGUUUGUUAAGUCAGAUGUGAAAGCCCCGGGGCUCAACCUCGGAAUUGCAUUUGAAACUGGCAGACUAGAGUACUGUAGAGGGGGUAGAAUUUCAGGUGUAGCGGUGAAAAUGCGUAGAGAUCUGAAGGAAUACCGGUGGCGAAGGCGGCCCCCCUGGACAGAUACUGACACUCAGAUGCGAAAGCGUGGGGAGCAAACAGGAUUAGAUACCCCUGGUAG